rnacentral:rRNA from 1 species
UACGGGGGGGGGCAAGCGUUGUUCGGAAUUACUGGGCGUAAAGGGCUCGUAGGCGGCCCUCUCAGUCGGAUGUGAAAUCCCCAGGCUUAACCUGGGAACGGCAUCCGAUACUGGAGGGCUUGAAUUCGGGAGAGGGAUGCAGAAUUCCAGGUGUAGCGGUGAAAUGCGUAGAUAUCUGGAGGAAUACCGGUGGCGAAGGCGGCAUCCUGGACCGAGAUUGACGCUGAGGAGCGAAAGCGUGGGGAGCGAACAGG